ACGUCAUCACCGUGUUACGUGGCCCCCCUUGAUGUUAAGCACUUACAGCAGGGGUGGACUUGGAUGGGCCCAAAUUGAUGUGGGCUUGGGAUAUUUUGUCCAAAAAGUUUUAUUUUAUUAAAAUACAAAUAAAAUUUAGAAAAAGGUAUAUUUUGUAAAAAUAAAUGUACUUAUUUCUUAUCCUCGGUUUUGAUUUAUUAAGAAAAUCAGGUUCAAACCUUAAAAAA
rnacentral:misc_RNA from 1 species